UACGUAGGGGGCAAGCGUUGUCCGGAAUCAUUGGGCGUAAAGCGCGUGUAGGCGGCCCGGUAAGUCCGCUGUGAAAGUCCAGGGCUCAACCCUGGGAUGCCGGUGGAUACUGUCGGGCUCGAGUCCGGAAGAGGCGAGUGGAAUUCCGUGGUGUAGCGGUGAAAUGCGCAGAUAGUCAGGAGGAACACCGAUGGCGAAGGCAGCUCGCGGGACG
rnacentral:rRNA from 1 species